UAAGCCUAAGUCUCACAUUCGCAACCGCCCCACAUAUCAGAACCACAGCGAACUGCCUCCGACCCUACGGACCCAAAAAAAUUAUUGUAUUCCUGCUCUUUCACUUCAAUAAUUUUUUGUAUUAUUCCAUAUCUUUCACUUUAAUAACCCAAAAGCUUUCCUCUGUUUCAACCCAAAAGCUCAAAUUCCUUUUUUCAAUCGAAAUAAAACGUAGCCACAAAACCCUAAUUCACCACACCAAUUUAUCUCUGCCCGGUAUUCAUUUAAACCCUACCUCGCGGUUCAAUGUCAUUCAAUACGAUUGCAGAUGCCGUUUCAACUUGACAUUUAGUUAGCGCCAUCCCGUUCUCUAUGGUAAGCCUUAACCCUAACAACUAAUCGACUGUGGUAGCACGUUGCUUGUUAGGAGUGGGGAUACAUUAUUUGAAUAUAUGAAUUGGGUGAUGUUAGUGAUUCAUUCCCCUAUUUUUCGUGAAUUGAGAUUUGUGUAUAAUGCUAGUAAGAUUGCUAAAAAUUUCAUAUUUUGUAUUGUUCCAGUUGAAUUUCUUGCUUGUGGAAGAUAAAACAAAAGUUCAAUUUCAUGUUGAUUUAAUUCUUCUUUUUUUUUUCUUCUUUAUAGUCACGCUCUGGCUUUGGUGCUAUGCUUAGUGCAGUUUAUGGUUUCAAGAUUAAGUCACGUUUAUUUGAUGGCAUCGAUUCCAUCAUUAAGAAGCUCUUCUUAUUUUAUCUCAGUUUCAAUUUUCUUUUAUUAUCUGCCUCUACCUGAAAAUGGACGUGUUUUACUAGUAAGCAUAGACUUUGUUUAUUUAAUUGAUAUUAUAAUUUUAUGUAUAAGAAUGGAG
rnacentral:lncRNA from 1 species